CAGUCGCCGCGGUAAUACGGAGGGGGCUAGCGUUGUUCGGAAUUACUGGGCGUAAAGCGCACGUAGGCGGCUAUUCAAGUCAGAGGUGAAAGCCCGGGGCUCAACCCCGGAAUUGCCUUUGAAACUAGAUAGCUUGAACACGGGAGAGGUGAGUGGAAUUCCGAGUGUAAAGGUGAAAUUCGUAGAUAUUCGGAAGAACACCAGUGGCGAAGGCGGCUCACUGGACCGUUGUUGACGCUGAGGUGCGAAAGCGUGGGGAGCAAACAGGAUUAGAUACCCCGGUAGUCCCUGUCUCUUAUAC
rnacentral:rRNA from 1 species